UGCUAUCCAGACGCCGUGCUAGCGUGUGCGCGCUAAACGGCACAAACCUGAAUUGUAGCCGCGAGAGCGACAUUCCACCUGAGGGCUGCGCACCUUUUAGUACAAAGCUUUGACUCAGGAUCCCACAAUGCUGUCGGCUACAGGUGAGUUUGACUCACUCGCUGAUGCUUCCCCGCGCCGCACGCCGCUUUCGCGCGUUCCUAUCCGGUUCCCUCCCGUGACGUCGAGCCGCCGUAACGCCAACUUUCAGCAAUAACAACUCACACGCUCUCGCCUUUCUCUCCCCCUGUUGCGAUCCCCGUUUGAAGACGGCCGCCGACGACCGCGGGGGGCGGAAGGGGAAGAAUCCCACUUAUGCGCUCUCUCGUUCCUCUUGGGGGUUUCUGCAGAUUUUCAAGCAAGUAAACCGCCGCAUUUUGAAACGAUUGUUAUUAUUUAAUUGAUUCAUCACGGGAGUGUGGGGAAAAAGUCCAGAUUUGCUGACAGGGAGGGGCGUUCGACUGCUGUUCCUCGAUCAACUCCGGGUGAAGCGUACGAGUUAGUUAAUUCCAUCCAUUUUCUCGACUCAUCUUGGGGCAAAGGGUGUAAUCGGACUACGUCUCGGACUGCUCGGCAGUCGAUUACAGUGCGCGUGCGCUACUCAGGUGAAAUGUCGGGCUGAACUUUCCAAUGUCCAACUGUUCUUUGUUUCUGAACGUUCUGCAUCACUCGCAGGAGCUGAGGGGCAAAAUCCACAGCAGGUGUUUCAUCGCAAUGGCCAUUUAUUGGGGUCUUUCAUUACACCAUCAGUGACGCACGGUGACGCUUUUCCAUGAGAUGGCAGAAGACGCCACGACGAACCUGUGAAACCAAACGUUGCCACGCGUACAGCAGAAUCAACAAAGUAAGCAGGCCACCGCCGAGUCAGAGGAGACCGGCGAUGAAACCUUUGAAGUUUUAGUGGUUGGUGACACUGUGGUGAGAUUUUGCUUCGACCGUAUGCAAUGUCGCUUUUGGGGAGAAGUGGAACCUUUGCGCUGUGCUGCGGCGCUUCGGACAGCAGGUGGCGGCAUCUAUUCCGCUCGUCGCCUCAACGAGAGGAAUGCAGAACGUCUCGAGAGGCCACAAAGACCAUUCUUUGCAAUUAUCAACACCGCUAGAGAGCGAUAUUCGCCUGGCAUUCUAUUGAUUACUUUUGGUGUAUGAUACUUUUUCCCUGUGCUGCGCGAUACUGAGAGUUGCCUAACGGCUUGUCAUGCUGCCGCAAACGAAACGAAACAGUCACGCAGUAGCACAGUAUAGCCUACAGCAAUACAAAUGCCGACUGCAACGGUAGCAAACGUCAACAUUAUCUUUGGGGGGAAAAAAAAAAAAAAAAAAGAUGAUUUUGAGAUGCAGGUUUUGUACGGUGUCUCGUGAGUGUACCAAUAGCCGACGUGGCCAAAGUGUAUUUUCCAAAGCACAAAUGCACACGUGUGUGUUUCACAGCAGGACGGAAUUAUCACCAUGUUCUCUUUUUGCGGAACAAAUAAGAGGACAGUGUUCCCUCGCCACUUGGCGCUUCACGUUUUGCGGCUUCCGUGCUUCGCGG